GCUGGGCACAGUGGUGCAUGCCUGUAAUUCCAGCAUCUUGGGAGGCUGAGAUAGGAGGAUUGCAAAUUCAAAGCCAGCCUGAGCAAAACUGAGGUGCUAAGGAACUCAGUGAGACUCUGUCUCUA
rnacentral:sRNA from 1 species